rnacentral:rRNA from 1 species
UACGGAGGGUGCGAGCGUUGUCCGGAAUCACUGGGCGUAAAGGGCGCGUAGGCGGCCUGAUAAGUAGGGGGUGAAAUCCUGCGGCUUAACCGCAGGGCUGCCUUCUAGACUGUCAGGCUAGAGCACAGUAGAGGCAGGUGGAAUUCCCGGUGUAGCGGUGGAAUGCGUAGAGAUAUGGAGGAACACCAGUGGCGAAGGCGACUUUCUGGUCUGUAACUGACACUGAGGCGCGAAAGCGUGGGGAGCAAACAGG